rnacentral:rRNA from 1 species
GUAGGUGGCAAGCGUUGUCCGGAGUUAGUUGGGCGUAAAGCGCGCGCAGGCGGUUUCUUUAAGUCUGAUGUGAAACGCCCACGGCUCAACCGUGGAGGGUCAUUGGAAACUGGAGAACUUGAGUACAGAAGAGGAAAGCGGAAUUCCACGUGUAGCGGUGAAAUGCGUAGAGAUGUGGAGGAACACCAGUGGCGAAGGCGGCUUUCUGGUCUGUAACUGACGCUGAGGCGCGAAAGCGUGGGGGAGCAAACAGGAUUAGAUACCCUGGUAGUCCACGCCGUAAACGAUGAGUGCUAAGUGUUAGGGGGUUUCCGCCCCUUAGUGCUGCAGCUAACGCAUUAAGCACUCCGCCCUGGGAGUACGGCCGCAAGGCUG